CCUACGGGAGGCAGCAGUAGGGAAUAUUGCUCAAUGGGGGAAACCCUGAAGCAGCAACGCCGCGUGGAGGAUGAAGGUUUUCGGAUUGUAAACUCCUUUUGUCAGAGAAGAUAAUGACGGUAGCUAACGAAUAAGCACAGGCUAACUCCGUGCCAGCAGCCGCGGUAUUACGGAGGGUGCAAGCGUUACUCGGAAUCACUGGGCGGAAAGAGCGCGUAGGCGGGAUAGCAAGUCGGAUGUGAAAGCCUAUGGCUUAACCAUAGAACUGCAGUUGAAACUGUUAGUCUAGAGUGUGGGAGAGGUAGGUGGAAGUCUUGGUGUAGGGGUAAAAUGCGUAGAGAUCAAGAGGAAUACUCAUUGCGAAGGCGGCCUGCUGGAACGUAACUGACGCUGAUGCACGAAAGCGUGGGGAGCAAACAGGAUUAGAUACCCGAGUAGUC
rnacentral:rRNA from 1 species